rnacentral:rRNA from 1 species
GUCCACGCCCUAACGAUGUCAACUGGUUGUUGGGUCUUCACUGACUCAGUAACGAAGCUAACGCGUGAAGUUGACCGCCUGGGGAGUACGGCCGCAAGGUUGAAACUCAAAGGAAUUGACGGGACCCGCACAAGCGGUGGAUGAUGUGGUUUAAUUCGAUGCAACGCGAAAACCUUACCUACCCUUGACAUGUCUGGAAUCUCGCAGAGAUGUGAGAGUGCCCGAAAGGGAGCCAGAACACAGGUGCUGCAUGGCUGUCGU